rnacentral:misc_RNA from 1 species
GAUGAAGAACGUAGCGAAAUGCGAUACGUAGUGUGAAUUGCAGAAUUCAGUGAAUCAUCGAAUCUUUGAACGCACAUUGCACCUCUCGGUAUUCCGGGAGGUAUGCCUGUUCGAGCGUCAUUUGUACCCUCAAGCUCUGCUUGGUGUUGGGUGUUUGUUCCGCCUCUGUGUGUGAACUCGCCUCAAAACAAUUGGCAGCCGGCGUACUUGUUUCGGAGCGCAGCACAUUUUGCGAUCCAGAUCAACGUACAGCGGCAUCCAAGAAGCCUUAUUUAACGCUCUUGACCUCGGAUCAGGUAGGGAUACCCGCUGAACUUAAGCAUAUCAAUAAGCGGGGA